rnacentral:rRNA from 1 species
UAAGCAUAUCAAUAAGCGGAGGAAAAGAAACCAACAGGGAUUGCCCCAGUAACGGCGAAGUGAAGCGGCAAGAGCUCAAAUUUGAAAGCUGGCUCCUUCGGGGUCCGCAUUGUAAUUUGCAGAGGAUGUUUCGGGAGCGGCCCCCAUCUAAGUGUCCUGGAACGGACCGUCAUAGAGGGUGAGAAUCCCGUAUGGGAUGGGGUGCCCGCGCCCGUGUGAAACUCCUUCGACGAGUCGAGUUGUUUGGGAAUGCAGCUCUAAAUGGGUGGUAAAUUUCAUCUAAAGCUAAAUAUUGGCCGGAGACCGAUAGCGCACAAGUAGAGUGAUCGAAAGAUGAAAAGCACUUUGAAAAGAGAGUUAAAAAGCACGUGAAAUUGUUGAAAGGGAAGCGUUUGCGAUCAGACUCGCCGACGGGGUUCAGCCUGCCUUCGGGCAGGUGUACUUCCCCGCCGGCGGGCCAGCGUCGGUUUGGGCGGCCGGUCAAAGGCCCUGGGAAUGUAACGCCUCUCGGGGCGUCUUAUAGCCCAGGGUGUCAUGCGGCCUGCCCGGACCGAGGAACGCGCUUCGGCUCGGACGCUGGCAUAAUGGUCGUAAACGACCCGUCUUGAAACACGGACCAAGGAGUCUAACAUCUAUGCGAGUGUUCGGGUGUCAAACCCGUGCGCGAAGUGAAAGCGAACGGAGGUGGGAACCCUUUGGGUGCACCAUCGACCGAUCCUGAUGUCUUCGGAUGGAUUUGAGUAAGAGCAUAGCUGUUGGGACCCGAAAGAUGGUGAACUAUGCCUGAAUAGGGCGAAGCCAGAGGAAACUCUGGUGGAGGCUCGCAGCGGUUCUGACGUGCAAAUCGAUCGUCAAAUUUGGGGUAUAGGGGGCGAAAGACUAAUCGAACCAUCUAGUAGCUGGUUCCUGC